GAGUUUGAUCAUGGCUCAGGAUGAACGCUAGCGGCAGGCUCAACACAUGCAAGUCGAGGGGUAGUAUAGCAAUAUAUGAGACCGGCGCACGGGUGCGUAACGCGUAUGCAAUCUACCUUUUACAGGGGAAUAGCCCAGAGAAAUUUGGAUUAAUGCCCCAUGGUAUAAUUGAUUGGCAUCAAUUAAUUAUUAAAGUUCCAACGGUAAAAGAUGAGCAUGCGUCCCAUUAGCUAGUUGGUAUGGUAACGGCAUACCAAGGCGAUGAUGGGUAGGGGUCCUGAGAGGGAGAUCCCCCACACUGGUACUGAGACACGGACCAGACUCCUACGGGAGGCAGCAGUGAGGAAUAUUGGACAAUGGGCGCAAGCCUGAUCCAGCCAUGCCGCGUGCAGGAAGAAGCAUCUAUGGUGUGUAAACUGCUUUUAUACAGGAAGAAACACUCCCUCGUGAGGGAGCUUGACGGUACUGUAAGAAUAAGGACCGGCUAACUCCGUGCCAGCAGCCGCGGUAAUACGGAGGGUCCAAGCGUUAUCCGGAAUCAUUGGGUUUAAAGGGUCCGUAGGCGGUUUAAUAAGUCAGUGGUGAAAGCCCAUCGCUCAACGAUGGAACGGCCAUUGAUACUGUUAGACUUGAAUUAUUAGGAAGUACUAGAAUAUGUAGUGUACCGGUGA
rnacentral:rRNA from 1 species